GGUUAAGCGACUAAGCGUACACGGUGGAUGCCCUGGCAGUCAGAGGCGAUGAAGGACGUGCUAAUCUGCGAAAAGCGUCGGUAAGGUGAUAUGAACCGUUAUAGCCGGCGAUGUCCGAAUGGGGAAACCCAGUGUGAUUCGUCACACUAUCGUUAACUGAAUACAUAGGUUAACGAGGCGAACCGGGGGAACUGAAACAUCUAAGUACCCCGAGGAAAAGAAAUCAACCGAGAUUCCCCCAGUAGCGGCGAGCGAACGGGGAGCAGCCCAGAGUUUGAAUCAGCUUGUGUGUUAGUGGAACGGUCUGGAAAGUCCGACGGUACAGGGUGAUAGUCCCGUACACCAAAAUGCACAGGCUGUGAACUCGAAGAGUAGGGCGGGACACGUGGUAUCCUGUCUGAAUAUGGGGGGACCAUCCUCCAAGGCUAAAUACUCCUGACUGACCGAUAGUGAACCAGUACCGUGAGGGAAAGGCGAAAAGAACCCCGGCGAGGGGAGUGAAAAAGAACCUGAAACCGUGUACGUACAAGCAGUGGGAGCACCUUCGGGUGUGACUGCGUACCUUUUGUAUAAUGGGUCAGCGACUUAUAUUCUGUAGCAAGGUUAACCGUAUAGGGGAGCCGCAGGGAAACCGAGUCUUAACUGGGCGUUAAGUUGCAGGGUAUAGACCCGAAACCCGGUGAUCUAGCCAUGGGCAGGUUGAAGGUUGGGUAACACUAACUGGAGGACCGAACCGACUAAUGUUGAAAAAUUAGCGGAUGACUUGUGGCUGGGGGUGAAAGGCCAAUCAAACCGGGAGAUAGCUGGUUCUCCCCGAAAGCUAUUUAGGUAGCGCCUCGUGAAUUCAUCUUCGGGGGUAGAGCACUGUUUCGGCUAGGGGGUCAUCCCGACUUACCAACCCGAUGCAAACUACGAAUACCGAAGAAUGUUAUCACGGGAGACACACGGCGGGUGCUAACGUCCGUCGUGAAGAGGGAAACAACCCAGACCGCCAGCUAAGGUCCCAAAGUCAUGGUUAAGUGGGAAACGAUGUGGGAAGGCACAGACAGCCAGGAUGUUGGCUUAGAAGCAGCCAUCAUUUAAAGAAAGCGUAAUAGCUCACUGGUCGAGUCGGCCUGCGCGGAAGAUGUAACGGGGCUAAACCAUGCACCGAAGCUGCGGCAGCGACACUAUGUGUUGUUGGGUAGGGGAGCGUUCUGUAAGCCUGCGAAGGUGACCUGUGAGGGUUGCUGGAGGUAUCAGAAGUGCGAAUGCUGACAUAAGUAACGAUAAAGCGGGUGAAAAGCCCGCUCGCCGGAAGACCAAGGGUUCCUGUCCAACGUUAAUCGGGGCAGGGUGAGUCGACCCCUAAGGCGAGGCCGAAAGGCGUAGUCGAUGGGAAACAGGUUAAUAUUCCUGUACUUGGUGUUACUGCGAAGGGGGGACGGAGAAGGCUAUGUUAGCCGGGCGACGGUUGUCCCGGUUUAAGCAUGUAGGCUGGUUAUCCAGGCAAAUCCGGAUAAUCAAGGCUGAGGUGUGAUGACGAGGCACUACGGUGCUGAAGUAACAAAUGCCCUGCUUCCAGGAAAAGCCUCUAAGCAUCAGGUAACAUUAAAUCGUACCCCAAACCGACACAGGUGGUCAGGUAGAGAAUACCAAGGCGCUUGAGAGAACUCGGGUGAAGGAACUAGGCAAAAUGGUGCCGUAACUUCGGGAGAAGGCACGCUGGUGUGUAGGUGAAGUCCCUGCGGAUGGAGCUGAGACCAGUCGAAGAUACCAGCUGGCUGCAACUGUUUAUUAAAAACACAGCACUGUGCAAACACGAAAGUGGACGUAUACGGUGUGACGCCUGCCCGGUGCCGGAAGGUUAAUUGAUGGGGUUAUCCGUAAGGAGAAGCUCUUGAUCGAAGCCCCGGUAAACGGCGGCCGUAACUAUAACGGUCCUAAGGUAGCGAAAUUCCUUGUCGGGUAAGUUCCGACCUGCACGAAUGGCGUAAUGAUGGCCAGGCUGUCUCCACCCGAGACUCAGUGAAAUUGAACUCGCUGUGAAGAUGCAGUGUACCCGCGGCAAGACGGAAAGACCCCGUGAACCUUUACUAUAGCUUGACACUGAACAUUGAGCCUUGAUGUGUAGGAUAGGUGGGAGGCUUUGAAGCGUGGACGCCAGUCUGCGUGGAGCCAACCUUGAAAUACCACCCUUUAAUGUUUGAUGUUCUAACGUUGGCCCCUUACCGGGGUUGCGGACAGUGUCUGGUGGGUAGUUUGACUGGGGCGGUCUCCUCCCAAAGCGUAACGGAGGAGCACGAAGGUUAGCUAAUCCUGGUCGGACAUCAGGAGGUUAGUGCAAUGGCAUAAGCUAGCUUGACUGCGAGCGUGACGGCGCGAGCAGGUGCGAAAGCAGGUCAUAGUGAUCCGGUGGUUCUGAAUGGAAGGGCCAUCGCUCAACGGAUAAAAGGUACUCCGGGGAUAACAGGCUGAUACCGCCCAAGAGUUCAUAUCGACGGCGGUGUUUGGCACCUCGAUGUCGGCUCAUCACAUCCUGGGGCUGAAGUAGGUCCCAAGGGUAUGGCUGUUCGCCAUUUAAAGUGGUACGCGAGCUGGGUUUAGAACGUCGUGAGACAGUUCGGUCCCUAUCUGCCGUGGGCGCUGGAGAAUUGAGGGGGGCUGCUCCUAGUACGAGAGGACCGGAGUGGACGCAUCACUGGUGUUCGGGUUGUCAUGCCAAUGGCACUGCCCGGUAGCUAAAUGCGGAAGAGAUAAGUGCUGAAAGCAUCUAAGCACGAAACUUGCCCCGAGAUGAGUUCUCCCUGAGACUUUAAGUCUCCUGAAGGAACGUUGAAGACGACGACGUUGAUAGGCCGGGUGUGUAAGCGCAGCGAUGCGUUGAGCUAACCGGUACUAAUGAACCGUGAGGCUUAACCUU
rnacentral:rRNA from 1 species